GCUGGGCGUGGUGGCGUAUGCCUGUAGUCCCUGCUACUCGGGAGGCUGAGGCGGGAGGAUCACUUGAACCUGGGAGGCAGAAGUUGCAGUGAGCCGAGAUCAUGCCACUGCACUCCAGCCUGGGUGACAGAGUGAGACCCUGUCUCAA
ensembl:misc_RNA Metazoa_SRP Metazoan signal recognition particle RNA